rnacentral:rRNA from 1 species
UUUUGGACAAUGGGCGCAAGCCUGAUCCAGCAAUGCCGCGUGAGUGAAGAAGGCCUUCGGGUUGUAAAGCUCUUUUGUCAGGGAAGAAACGACUGUCUCGAAUAAAGACAGUUAAUGACGGUACCUGAAGAAUAAGCACCGGCUAACUACGUGCCAGCAGCCGCGGUAAUACGUAGGGUGCAAGCGUUAAUCGGAAUUACUGGGCGUAAAGCGUGCGCAGGCGGUUCUGUAAGUCAGAUGUGAAAUCCCCGGGCUCAACCUGGGAAUGGCAUUUGAGACUGCAAAGCUAGAGUGUGUCAGAGGGGGGUAGAAUUCCACGUGUAGCAGUGAAAUGCGUAGAGAUGUGGAGGAAUACCGAUGGCGAAGGCAGCCCCCUGGAGAUUUCACUGACGCUCAUGCACGAAG